rnacentral:rRNA from 1 species
AGAGGCCCAAGCUGACAGAAACCGGCGUAAAGAGUGGUUAGGUGGUAUUUAAACUAAAGCCAAACACUUUCCAAGCUGUUAUACGCAUCCGAGAGUAUGAAAAUCUCCUACGAAAGUGGCUUUAAUAUCCUGACUCCACGAAAGCUAUGGAACAAACUGGGAUUAGAUACCCCACUAUGCAUAACUGUAAACACCGAUAGCAAUUUACCCGCAAUCCGCCAGGGAACUACAAGCAUUGGCUUGAAACCCAAAGGACUUGGCGGUGCUUUAGACCCACCUAGAGGAGCCUGUUCUAGAACUGAUAACCCCCGUUCAACCUCACCCUGCUUUGUCAUACCCGCCUAUAUACCGCCGUCGUCAGCUUACCUUGUGAAAGAUUAUAAGUGAGCAAGAUUGGUACAACCCAAAACGUCAGGUCGAGGUGUAGUGUAUGGCAGGGGAAGAAAUGGGCUACAUUUAUCUACUGAUAAACACGGAUUAUUUAUUGAAAAAUAAAACUGAAGGAGGAUUUAGCAGUAAGAAGAAAAUAGAGAGUUCUUCUGAAACAGGCUCUGAAGCGCGCACACACCGCCCGUCACUCUCCCCUAAUAUCUCACAAUAUUAAGUAAAACACCUGAAAAAUUAAGGGGAGGCAAGUCGUAACAUGGUAAGUGUACCGGAAGGUGCACUUGGAAUACCAAAGCAUAGCUUAAUUAGUAAAGCAUCUCA